rnacentral:misc_RNA from 1 species
GUAUGCAAAAUGUGAUGUAUUUGUUUGAUAGUUUGUGGCUGUGUUGAUAAAUCAUUGACACUAAUGAUUAGAUGGUUAAUAUUCAAAAUGAGGUAUAUUUAUUUAUAUUUUUAUGCGGAUGUUGGUCAAUGACCAAUUAUCUUCCUAUAAUUCUUUCAUAUGUAAUUUAUUCUUUGUUUUCAAAGGUUACAUCCAUUACAAUCAAUUUUGUUUCGUGAUGAGAUGUCAAGGGGUGUGUAUCCAUUUCGAGAAAGUUUCCUCACAAAGUUUCCUUUUUGUUUUAAAUUACUAUUAUCAUUAUUAUUCUUUUUGUUGGUUGAUAAAGAUUUGAUAGUUAUUACUU